rnacentral:rRNA from 1 species
UACGGAGGGUGCAAGCGUUGCUCGGAAUUAUUGGGCGUAAAGGGUAGGUAGGUGGUCUCAUUUGUCUGGGGUGAAAGCCUUGAGCUUAACUCAAGAAGUGCCCCAGAAACGGUGAGACUCGAGUCCUGGAGAGGGUCGUGGAAUUCCCGGUGUAGCGGUGAAAUGCGUAGAGAUCGGGAGGAACACCAGAGGCGAAGGCGGCUCUCUGGGGUAUUUCUGACGCUGAGGCACGAAAGCCAGGGGAGCGAACGGG